GGUAAAAAACAAUAAGUUCAUCCACAUAUAAGAAAAGUAUAAGUUUUAACUUAUACUUUUCUUAUAUGUGGAUGAACUUAUUGUUUUUUACCUUUAUUU